rnacentral:misc_RNA from 1 species
UUAACAAUUAUAUAAUUCUCAGACAACAAUAAAGUCAGAAUUUAGAAUUCUCUGGUAGAUACUCACUAGUAUACACUGGUUGUAUAGAAAUACGACCUACCAAAGCAACAAAGUAAUAUAUUCAAGGAUGAGAGAUCUCCCCAUAUGGGGCUUGAACUCUUUAAUGAUCCUUCCGCAGGUUCACCUACGGAGA